UCUGAAGAUAUAAUGGAACUCCU
rnacentral:snRNA from 1 species